CCGUCGAUAGCUCAGUUGGUAGAGCGGUGGACUGUAGAUCCAUAGGUCGCUGGUUCGAAUCCAGCUCGACGGA
rnacentral:tRNA from 1 species